GACCGGGUUUCGGCCUGGGAGUGGCGGACGGGUGAGUAUCGCGUAGGGAUUUGUCGUUGGGUGGGGGACAACCUUGGGAAACUGGGGCUAAUACCGCAUGACGCCUGUGGGCCAAAGCCUGAGAGGGUGCCUGACGAGGAGCCUGCGUCCGAUUAGGUAGUUGGUUGGGUAAUGGCUGACCAAGCCUGCGAUCGGUAGCUGGUCUGAGAGGAUGAUCAGCCACACUGGGACUGAGACACGGCCCAGACUCCUACGGGAGGCAGCAGUGGGGAAUAUUGGACAAUGGGCGCAAGCCUGAUCCAGCAAUGCCGCGUGGAUGAAGAAGGUUUUCGGAUUGUAAAGUCCUUUCGGCGGGGACGAUGAUGACGGUACCCGCAGAAGAAGCCCCGGCUAACUUCG
rnacentral:rRNA from 1 species